AAUCAACGCUGGCGGCGUGCCUCAGACAUGCAAGUCGAACGAUUAAAGCUCCCUUCGGGGAGUGCAUAGAGUGGCGCACGGGUGAGUAACACGUAAGUAAUCUACCUCUGAGUGGGGAAUAACGUCCGGAAACGGACGCUAAUACCGCAUAACGCAGCGGCACCGCAAGGCGACAGUUGUUAAAGAUUUAUCGCUUGGAGAGGAGCUUGCGGCAGAUUAGCUAGUUGGUAAGGUAAUGGCUUACCAAGGCUACGAUCUGUAACCGGUCUAAGAGGACGGUCGGUCACACUGACACUGAAUAACGGGUCAGACUCCUACGGGAGGCAGCAGUCGGGAAUUUUGGGCAAUGGGCGAAAGCCUGACCCAGCAACGCCGCGUGAAGGAUGAAGUAUUUCGGUAUGUAAACUUCGAAAGAAUGGGAAGAAUCAAUGACGGUACCAUUUAUAAGGUCCGGCUAACUACGUGCCAGCAGCCGCGGUAAUACGUAGGGACCAAGCGUUGUUCGGAUUUACU
rnacentral:rRNA from 1 species